rnacentral:tRNA from 1 species
GGGGAUGUGGCUCAAGUGGUAGAGCGCUCACCUAGCAUGCGUGAGGAACUGGGUUCGAUUCUCAGCACCACA